AAAUGUUCUAAAUAACAAAAAGGACAAUAGGGGUUUAAUAUGAGAGUUUUUUUUGUUAUUUAGAAAUUUAUGUUGUCUUUUAACGUCAGGAUGUCUAUUAAGAGUGUAUGGUGUUGGA
rnacentral:misc_RNA from 1 species